AGAGAAUUGGCCGAGCGGUUUAAGGCGGUAAGCUUGAGUCUUAUUAGGUUAACUAAAAUUAGCCACAUCCGUUCAAAUCGGAUAUUCUCUG
rnacentral:tRNA from 1 species